GCGGGGGUUGCCAAGCCUGGCCAACGGCGCAGGGCUUAGAACCCUGUUUCUUAGGAAUUCGUGGGUUCGAAUCCCACCCCCCGCA
rnacentral:tRNA from 1 species